rnacentral:rRNA from 1 species
UCGCCUUGUCAGUGCCUGUUCUUGUGUCAGUUCAGACGCUAAGCAAGACUGCGCCUGGUUAGUACUUGGAUGGGAGACCAUUGGGAAUACAGGG